rnacentral:rRNA from 1 species
UACGAAGGGGGCUAGCGUUGUUCGGAAUUACUGGGCGUAAAGCGCGUGUGGGCGGGUCUUUAAGUCAGGGGUGAAAUCCUGGAGCUCAACUCCAGAACUGCCUUUGAUACUGAGGAUCUUGAGUUCGGGAGAGGUGAGUGGAACUGCGAGUGUAGAGGUGAAAUUCGUAGAUAUUCGCAAGAACACCAGUGGCGAAGGCGGCUCACUGGCCCGAUACUGACGCUGAGGCACGAAAGCGUGGGGAGCAAACAGG